rnacentral:rRNA from 1 species
GAUGAACGCUAGCGGGAGGCCUAACACAUGCAAGCCGAGCGGUAGAGUUUCUUCGGAAACUUGAGAGCGGCGCACGGGUGCGUAACACGUGUGCAACCUACCUUUAUCUGGGGGAUAGCCUUUCGAAAGGAAGAUUAAUAACCCAUAAUAUAAUGAUUGGCAUCAAUUAUUAUUGAAAACUCCGGUGGAUAGAGAUGGGCACGCGACAGAUUAGAUAGUUGGUGAGGUAACGGCUCACCAAGUCAAUGAUCUUUAGGGGUCCUGAGAGGGAGAUCCCCCACGCUGGGACUGAGACACGGACCAGACUCCUACGGGAGGCAGCAGUGAGGAAUAUUGGACAAUGGGUGAGAGCCUGAUCCAGCCAUCCCGCGUGAAGGAUGACGGUCCUAUGGAUUGUAAACUUCUUUUGUACAGGGAUAAACCUACCCUCGUGAGGGUAGCUGAAGGUACUGUACGAAUAAGCACCGGCUAACUCCGUG